rfam:Schistosoma mattheei strain Denwood, Zambia genome assembly, scaffold: SMTD_scaffold0001129
AGCUUUCUGAAUCCGUGCUGAGAUUUCGUCAGACACCAACUCAUUAGUGCUGAACAGACUUCCAGGAUAAGUGAAGUC